UCUGAGCUCUAAGUGUCUCUGUAUUACGCAGCCUGCUUUAAUUUAUCAGUUUUUUUUUUUUAUCUGACUUCUACCAGCGCAGUGGUUGCAUUUUUAGGUGUCUGUUCUGAGUUCUAAGUGUCCCUGGAUUACCCAACCUGCUUUAAUUUAUCAGUUUAUUUUAUCUGACGUCUCCAGGGCUGUCGUUGCAUUUUCAGUUUUCUGUUCUGAGCUCUAAGUGUUUCUGGAUUAAGCAGCCUGCUUUAAUUUACCGUUUAUUUUAUCUGAUGUCUCCCAGCGCUGUCGUUGCAUUUUCAGGUUUCUAUUCUGAGCUCUCAGUGUCUCUGGAUUACACAGCCUGCUUUAAUUUAUCAGUUUAUUUUAUCUGACUUCUACCAGCGCAGUUGUUGCAUUUUCAGUUUUCUGUUCUGAGCUCUAAGUGUUUCUGGAUUAAGCAGCCUGCUUUAAUUUACCGUUUAUUUUAUCUGCUGUCUCCCAGCCCUGUCGUUGCAUUUUCAGGUUUCUAUCCUGAGCUCUAAGUGUUUCUGAAUUACACAGCCUGCUUUAAUAUACCAG
ensembl:lncRNA